AUCAAUCUUAUUUAAUGAAGUUGGCCUGGAAGAUGAUCAAAGGCGUUGAGUGGGCUCACCAGAUUAUGCGGUCUCGUUAUCUUAAUCAGUUCAGCUACGCCAAGAAGUCGAUUGCUAACUCCCCGAUUUGGAUUGGAGUUAAGCAUGAGGUGGAUGAUUUGGUGGAGGAUUCCUAUACUUGUGUUGAUCGUGGCGACAGUACUUAUUUUUGGCGGGAUGAUUGGCUUGGCUACAAACUUGUAGAUAAGCUGAAAAUUCCACAUUAUAUGCAUGAGUACUCAGUUUUUCGGUCAAGACUAUUAUUAUGAUGGCCUUUGGCACUUCUCUGCUGCUUUCGUUAAUAAGUUUCCUGAGAUUGUGGCUGAUAUUUUACUUGUUCACAUGAGCGGCGAGCUGGACUCUAGAUUUGGAAGCAUUCUGUCCGCGGGGAUGUUUCGGCGGCCUUGGCUUUCUCCAGCAAGUGUAGCCGUUUUCCAAUGGUUAA
rnacentral:lncRNA from 1 species